GCCUUUGUCGUUGUUGUUGUUGUUGUUGUUGUUGUUGUGUAUUGUGAGGUUCUUGUUGCUAUUUUAAGGGUAUUGUUCAUAAACUGUUUUUGUAUUUUUUAUUUUCUUUGAUUCUAGUUUUCCCUUUGCUGCUCACUGUUUCUUGUUUUAUUUUUUACACAUUUACUUAAAGAGAAAUUUAUUCAAAUUUUACACCGAAAAAGUAUCAUAUGUACAUACAAACAAACAUACUUUGUAAAUGCAGUUUUUAUUUUUAUUGUUGUUUUUUUUUUAAUUUUGUUUCAAUAGUAAUUUCACUGUAGUCAAAUUUCGCAAAUUCACUUCCAACGAAUCAGUACAAUUACCUCAGCGGCUGAUGAUCAGAACACGUUUAGCAUUUGCAUUAAUUAAUAAUUUAUUUAUUUAAUUUUUUUUUAUUUUUUUCAACAACGCAAUCCGUAUUGAUGACAGAGAUAUGUAUGUAUGUAUUUACGAGUAUUUUUCGUUUUUGAUUGUGAUUUUUUUUUUUUUUUUUUUGACCGUUAACUGCGAAAUAACAGCGAGCUAGCAGCAAAUUCAACUUUCCGCUGUCUUAUUAUAACUAAGACUUACGACAAGUAUCGUUCCACGUCGCAAAGCCAACUGAGAGCUGGAGAAGAUGCAGCUUCUUCAUAUGUCUACGCAAAAAUCUUUUGAGUCACGCUUUGAAAUUCCCCUCUCCGAACACAGUUUGCGUAAUAUUUCUUUGCUUAAGCUUGAUUUUAGUGAAAUUCUCAAAAUAAUUAGUAUUUGUUGUUAUUUACUUGGCACAUCAAUUAACUAUGUUUUAAGAGAAGGCGCUCAGCUUAUUUCUCUUUCAAUGUAAUGCGGAGAUUUAAGUAAAUAUUGGUAGAGUAGAUUGCUCUUAUCACGAGUAAAAAAAAAAAAAAAACACGAGGACGCUACACAAUUGUGAGCUGAUAAAUGUGGAUUUAAGGCAUCGAAGUUCAUUUUUCUCAAGGCUUCCCUAUCAAUUUGCCCGACGCUGCUUUUUUAAAUACUCAUCUUUAUCUUUAUUAUACCGGUCAACGAAUAUACAUACAUACAUAUUUCGUUAAUUUGCCUCCUUGCAAACUUUACCGAUUUUACAUUUUUCCAAUUCUGUGUCCAAAACGUAAAAGAGGAAGCCAUUACAACUUAUGCCGUAAAACAAUAUUUCGAGCAACAACAACUAGUACGCAUGCCGUACUAAAGGUGUCAAAGAGGACAGGAUAAUACUCGAAACGAAUGUGUCAAAACCAAGGGAAACGGAGUAACACUCGUGAGAGGAACCAGCCCAGGCGAAUUCUCGGCAAAUGAACGUAUGACACCAGUCCCAAAAGUUGUGUCAAAAAUUUG